UGCCUUUAUGUGUUGCCCUCUCAUUGAUCUGUGUAGUGAUGGGGGUGUCAGAUAAGGCACACACUGACUCUCGUGGCAGCCACUGAAUUGAGUUUGAAAUGACUCCUUUGCAAGUGCUCCCACGAGCACAUGC